AUUUCUUGCCACUCUCCUUCACUCAACAGCAAGUGUUUUGCCUCUCCAAUUACCUUUCCAUCUUAAAAAAGUGAUCUCCAUUUUCCUCCCAACUGAUACUCUCAUUGCAAUACCGAUGGCUUGUUGCAGCAUGGUUUCUGUUAUGUUAAUUGUUCUGUUAGCGUGUUAUACACCGCACGUUGAAGCAAGAAAACUGUUGAAAAGUAUGGAAGAAAAGAAGAUCGAUGGUUCUUUUCGAGAAGGCACUGUCCCGCCUUCUUCGCCAAGUAAAAAAGGUUAUGCCAAUAAGCUUGUUGCAGGGCAACAGUUUGCUGGUUAUAAUGUUGAUCGGUCAGCUCCUAGCCCUGGGAUUGGCCAUUAACAAUUAGCUUCCUAUAUUGGCUAUUUUUCACUUUGCAAUGGCUGCAUGUAUACAAGAUAUGAAGUGUAAAUAUACCUAAUUCAACAAUUUUGAUAUAUAGAGUAGAUACAGAGCUAAUGAAACGUUAUUCCAUUUAUAUAUAACUAAUAUUGAUCAGUUUUAGACAAAUUACAUAAGCUUUUGGUCAAUGAUGUACAACCUGCUAUUUAACGACAUUUUCCUCUAACUUUUGUACACUAUUUGUUCUAAAAGAACUUUUAUAGUAUCAUAU
rnacentral:lncRNA from 1 species